UGCAGUGCUUGGUUAAAGGCCCAUGCUGU
rnacentral:piRNA from 1 species